CAGCAGCCGCGGUAAUACAGAGGGUGCGAGCGUAAAUCGGAAUUACUGGGCGUAAAGCGAGUGUAGGUGGCUCAUUAAGUCACAUGUGAAAUCCCCGGGCUUAACCUGGGAACUGCAUGUGAUACUGGUGGUGCUAGAAUAUGUGAGAGGGAAGUAGAAUUCCAGGUGUAGCGGUGAAAUGCGUAGAGAUCUGGAGGAAUACCGAUGGCGAAGGCAGCUUCCUGGCAUAAUAUUGACACUGAGAUUCGAAAGCGUGGGUAGCAAACAGGAUUAGAUACCCUGGUAGUCCACGCCGUAAACGAUGUCUACUAGCCGUUGGGGUCCUUGAGACUUUAGUGGCGCAGUUUACGCGAUAAGUAGACCGCCUGGGGAGUACGGCCGCAAGGUUAAAACUCAAAGAAAUUGACGG
rnacentral:rRNA from 1 species